CUUGCUGUUCAGACUGCUGCCACGCUGGCUGGCUAGGUCACUCUGUAAGUUUAUACUUCCAGUGGUGAAAUUUGGGUGAUUUUAACAGCAUCAAGAAAGUGGCUACUAGCUUAAUAAGUUGCACUCUGGAAAAUUUCUUUGCUAAUGAAAAGCCUGCUGUGACCCAAGUUCUAUAGACUGGUGACCAUCCUGCUUGUCUUUGAGGAGUUUAAAUAAUGGAUUAAUGGAGAAGAUAAAACCCUGCUCCAUACGGAGCAGAUUCUGAGGAGGAGGCUGUCUACCUGACUUCAUUUCUUGCUGCUGUCGUCAUCAGUGCUGCUCUCAUUAUUCUCUGACUUCAAUUUCAUUUUCAUUGACCCUGCAACAUGGACUGAAGAUUAGAAACUCUGUGGGAGUAUUCUCAACUUUCAUCACCAGCUUGGGACUACUGAGUGCCCUGCUCAGAGUCACCUGAGGCCUGGGAACUACUCACUCGGGCACCCAUCCAGGUGGUCCAGCCCAUCCAGAGACUGCCAGGGUCCUGAUUCCGUCUCCACCCAGUGGAAGAGGAGAACCAUCGGAGUAUUGGACCUACUCGCACCCACUGGAUGGGAACCUUGGACCCAUACCCAUCAGGAGAAACUCCACCUGUACCCACUGGAAGAAGGGCUGGAAAGAAGGCAACAUAAAAACACAUUCAACAAUAGAAAAAACAAUAAGACACCACCAGAGUCUAGGGACUCUACACCAGCAAGACCUGAUGAACAACACAGUGCAGAUGAAGCAGAAGACAAUGACCUUAAAAACAAUUUAAUGAAAAUGAUAGAGGUCCUCAAAGAGGAUAUGAGAAAAUCCAUUGAAGAAAUGGAAGAAAAUUGUAUAAGUUGAAUUGAGAAUUUAAUUUCUUAUUAUAUUAUCUUGAC
rnacentral:lncRNA from 1 species